rfam:Schistosoma rodhaini strain Burundi genome assembly, scaffold: SROB_scaffold0015472
AUUCAGCUGACCAGUUCCAAAUUGGACGAAACGCGCGUCCUGGAU